rnacentral:rRNA from 1 species
AUUGAACGCUGGCGGCAGGCUUAACACAUGCAAGUCGAGCGAGCGGAGGACGGGUGAGUAAUGUCUGGGAAACUGCCUGAUGGAGGGGGAUAACUACUGGAAACGGUAGCUAAUACCGCAUACAAUCAGAUGUGCCCAGAUGGGAUUAGCUAGUAGGUGGGGUAAUGGCUCACCUAGGCGACGAUCCCUCGCUGGUCUGAGAGGAUGACCAGCCACAAUGGAACUAGUACUCGGUUCAGACUCCUAAGGGAGGCAGUAGUGGGGAAUAUUGCACAAUGGGCGCAAGCCUGAUGCAGCCAUGCCGCGUGUGUGAAGAAGGCCUUCGGGUUGUAAAGCACUUUCAGCGAGGAGGCGUUACUCGCAGAAGAAGCACCGGCUAACUCCGUGCCAGCAGCCGCGGUAAUUC